rnacentral:rRNA from 1 species
UAUUGCGCAAUGGGGGCAACCCUGACGCAGCGACGCCGCGUGAGUGAGGAAGGCCUUCGGGUCGUAAAGCUCUGUCAAAGGGGAAGAAGUGCAUGGUGGUUAAUAUCUGUCAUGUUUGACGGUACCCUUAAAGGAAGCACCGGCUAACUCCGUGCCAGCAGCCGCGGUAAUACNNGAGGGUGCAAGCGUUGUUCGGAAUCACUGGGCGUAAAGGGCGCGCAGGCGGUUUGAAUAGUCAGAUGUGAAAGCCCACGGCUUAACCGUGGAAGUGCAUUUGAAACUGUCAGACUUGAGUACCAGAGGGGAAAGUGGAAUCCCCGGUGUAGAGGUGAAAUUCGUAGAUAUCGGGCGGAAUACCCGUGGCGAAGGCGACUUUCUGGCUGGAUACUGACGCUGAGGGCGCGAAAGCGUGGGGAGCAAACAGGAUUAGAUACCCUGGUAGUCCACGCUGUAAACGAUGUGCACUAGAUGUAGGGGGUGUUGAUCCCCUCUGUGUCGCACGUAACGCAUUAAGUGCACCGCCUGGGGAGUACGGUCGCAAGAUUA